GGUUGAUCCUGCCAGUAGUCAUAUGCUUGUGUUAAAGAUUAAGCCAUGCAUGCCUAAGUAUAAACUGUACUAAUGGUGAAACUGCGGACGGCUCCAUAGAUCAGUAAUUGUUCGUUUGGUGAUGGAACAGUACUUGGAUAACCCUGUUAAUUGUAGAGCUAAUACAUGCACAAAGGACCUGAGCGGGUAACCGUGAGGGUCGCACUUGUCAGCUUUUAGUGUGGCUGAGAGAGUUUGUUUGGGAUGCUUUCUUGGAGGAAGCCCACAGCCGACUGGGGACGCAAAACCAUGG
rnacentral:rRNA from 1 species